rnacentral:rRNA from 1 species
UACGUAGGGGGCAAGCGUUGUCCGGAAUCAUUGGGCGUAAAGCGCGCGUAGGUGGCCCGGUAAGUCCGCUGUAAAAGUCCAGGGCUCAACCCUGGAAAGCCGGUGGAUACUGUCGGGCUCGAGUCCGGAAGAGGCGAGUGGAAUUCCUGGUGUAGCGGUGGAAUGCGCAGAUAUCAGGAGGAACACCGAUUGCGAAGGCAGCUCGCUGGGACGUCACUGACGCUGAGACGCGAAAGCGUGGGGAGCAAACAGG